UUUGGAAGCCACGGUAUUGAAAAAAAGCAAAUAACACAAAAUCCAGGAUUUGAGGUUGAUACAAUCGUGUCUAAUCAGAUCCCCAAAAUCUCGCAUCUCAAAUCUUUCCAAAAACUACCACAUACAAACCCUAAAUCGCAUAAACGGCUACAUCGUCGACAAAACAAUCGACGGGGCAAACCCAUUCCUUCCUAACCCAUAAACUCCAUCACCGGAAUGUCUGGAAACAACUACAUCGACGACGAUAGAAAGGGGAAACAAAAAAAAGUCGACAAGGUACAAAAUCAACGAAAAUCUUGAAGUUGUACGCACAACCCCGCACCGCCAUUAGUUGUUGAGAAAGAUGUCUGCAGAGAACGUAGGCGAAAUCAAUGAACCGCAUGCGGCAAUCAGAUGCCGAAAAAAGCUAUGGACAAAACAACAAAACAUCACAAACUCAUACUCGUUUGUCGAAACGAGAAAGUCGUUGCACUUACUGAAGCACCACAACAAAAAGAUGAUAGUGUUGACUGCGGUGUGGUGGUGGUGUAUCUCAUAAAAAAGUUUUUCCAGCAACAACCAAUCAUAAAGGACGAAGCUGAAUCAGAAAUCCCAGCAAUAUGAACUGAAAUGUGAAAACCUUUCUCGACUGGGGCACAACAAAAAAGACAAAUUUGAGCAACAAAUUCUUUAGAAUCAUAAAGUUAUGAACUUGGAUAGAAUGUUUUUUUUUGUUUUUGUAUUUUAUGUUGACGUAUCAUUACUUUUUGACCAAUUUGUAUUUCAGCAAACUGUUUUUGACCAAGUUGUCUUUAAUCAAUCUGUAUCCGUAAGAUAUUCUUGGUAAUAGUUGUUACGACGUAGAUUAACUUCCAUAGUAUGUGGUAUCUUUUGAUGAUAGAUGUUCAUUUGAGUAUAGUUAUAUGCAUUUGUUGUUGUUGAAAGUCUUAAGUAUUUGCUGUUAAUGAUA